rnacentral:lncRNA from 1 species
ACACGGAAGCAACUGCAAGGACUAAGGGAGUCCGCAGCCUGGGGCAUUGGAGCCCUUCGCCAUACCCCUAGUGCGUCCUCACCCCCUCAGCCCGUGCUUCCCAGGGCGGGUAUCCUCGGAAGGCCCGGCCCUCACAGCCUUGGCAGGCCAAGGUCAGAAUGAUUGGAGUUGGGGGAUGGGACGGGGGCAUCCCUCCAGGACCAGCUCUCCAGGAGGCCCACAUUCUUUCUGCGGGAACCACUCCAAAGGGGCAUGCUGUUCCAGGCAGCCCCUCGCGCAGACACUCCGGCUUUGUCGAGGGCCCACAACGCGUCCCCGGUGAUGUUCAUGCCCACCUCCCAGUAGUGCCUCCCAGAGGAGAAGGCCGUCUGGCCCACAGCACAGGGAGCCCCCAGUGCCUCACCUAAGCUGAGCUACCCUGUCAGCCCACGGCCACACGCCUGAGGUCCUGCAACUCAGGAGAGGCGGAGGGACCCCUUCCAGG